GGGGCUGUGGCUCAGAGGUAGAGCGCUCACCUACCAUGUGUGAGGCACCAGGAUUGAUCCUUAGCACCA
rnacentral:tRNA from 1 species